UCUGUGGGGCGGAACCACAGAAGCGUGACGGUGAAGCUGCCACUGGACCCCAGCUGGGCCCUGGCGGAUCCCAGCCCACUGACGGAAGAUUCCCCAGCCCCAGAAAAGCUUGGGCCGCUGGACCCUACCUUCCAGGGCGUGCAGGGGAACAGGCCCACUGUUGCCAACAGAGAUGAGCUAGGUCUGCUGUGUGCUGGACACAACUAGCUCUACUUUCAAGGUCCAUCUGACGGGAGGGACAGGUGACAAGACACCUGGGGACAAGAGCUGAGGAACCCACAAAGGAAAAGCUGGCUUGUUUGGACAGCUGCUGAGGAAAGCUCUACAGAGAUGGAUGGGCAGGUGACCAGGAACCUGGAAGGACGGGCCAGAGCCGGGGAGGAAAGCCCACAGUGGAGGAGCUGUCUCAAGGAGACUGUGUGGUGGGCAUGAAAGUCAGUCCGGCUGCGGAGAUGAAAAUAUAUCUGCGGGACAAAACAUUGGUGAACAUAUGCCAAAUGGGGAGACAGCCAGCCUCGGCAUCCUCCUCCCGCUCAUCACCACCGUGCCAUCGUCACCCAGCCGCCUUCACCAUCAGCUGCAGGAGACGUCCCAGGCCUCGCUGCUCAGGCUCAUUUCUACCCUAGGCCGUCCUCUUAAUGCUGCCAGGGAUGGCCCGGGCCAUGCCAUCGCUGCCCUGUGGUGACACCAGGCUGCUGAAGCUGGCUGCGCUGAUGGAGGAUUUCAGAAGAGCACAGAUUUGUGGGUGCUGAGGAGGCAGGCUGGGGAUCCUUGAAAAUGCCUGGGUCUGACACUGGCCUGGAGCAGCUGGAAGCCCAUCAGGAGCCCGGGGGGAAAUCACCUUGAGGCAAACACCGGAAGGUUAUAGUUCCGAGGAGCAGAUGAGUCCGCUCAGACCACAGCCCUCAGACCAAGAGCCCAGGGAAACGGCCCCUUUGCAGAUAGCUCUGCUCUGGCCACCAUUAAAUCUGGGCCCAGCCGAGUUGCCAUCCACUAAGAAUGCUUGUGACCCCCGCAAGCCCUCUCCACACUGUACUGUCAUCCUGCCAGAAGCCGAAGCUGUUUCGUAUCUGGGGCCCACAACUGGGCUGGGACUCCAUUAGUCCCAGACCGUGGGCCCCAUGAGUUUGUGGAGGGAAAGAACAAGUGAAGAAAUGACUGAUGAGAAUAGAGGCCCUGCUGCCUCAAGGCAAGGACUGACUGGGUCUGACUGUGACAAGGAGACUGGGCCGUGGAGCCAGGACAGACAAAGGGAGCAGAGAGGGCCAUGGUUUGCGGGUUGACCCAGGUAGGAAGUGUACUUGCCCAGGGAGCUUUGGAAGCCCAGAUGACCCUCAGUCUCGACAGGAGAGAAAGUGCUUGGUCAGGUCCUGGGCAGGACCCAGGAGGCCACUGGCCCUGCCACUCCUGGGCUGGGACGGGGCAUUGACAGCAAGCAGCUCCACGCAGCAGUUGCUCCUCCAGGUUACUGACGACCUUCAGUGACUCGUCAACACUGAGACACCUGAUUGCUAACCUGUGGCCUGCAGCUACCACAGCAUGGGAAGAGGGCACUUGGACUGCUCAGGGACCUAAAUCAAAGCCCUCCCCCGC